rnacentral:rRNA from 1 species
CACGUAGGGGGCGAGCGUUGUCCGGAUUUAUUGGGCGUAAAGAGCUCGUAGGCGGCUCAGUAAGUCAGGUGUAAAAACUCCAGGCUCAACCUGGAGACGCCAUCUGAUACUGCUGUGGCUAGAGUCCGGUAGGGGAGCAUGGAAUUCCUGGUGUAGCGGUGAAAUGCGCAGAUAUCAGGAGGAACACCAGUGGCGAAGGCGGUGCCUCUGGGCCGGAACUGACGCUGAGGGAGCGAAAGCGUGGGGAGCAAACAGGA